rnacentral:rRNA from 1 species
AUUGAACGCUGGCGGAAUGCUUUACACAUGCAAGUCGAACGGCAGCACGGGGGCAACCCUGGUGGCGAGUGGCGAACGGGUGAGUAAUACAUCGGAACGUGCCCGGUCGUGGGGGAUAACGUAGCGAAAGUUACGCUAAUACCGCAUACGAUCUGAGGAUGAAAGCGGGGGACCUUCGGGCCUCGCGCGAUCGGAGCGGCCGAUGUCAGAUUAGGUAGUUGGUGGGGUAAAGGCCUACCAAGCCGACGAUCUGUAGCUGGUCUGAGAGGACGACCAGCCACACUGGGAGUGAGACACGGCCCAGACUCCUACGGGAGGCAGCAGUGGGGAAUUUUGGACAAUGGGCGCAAGCCUGAUCCAGCCAUUCCGCGUGCAGGACGAAGGCCUUCGGGUUGUAAACUGCUUUUGUAUGGAACGAAAAGGCUCUGGCUAAUACCUGGGGCUCAUGACGGUACCGUAAGAAUAAGCACCGGCUAACUACGUG